AACCUCCGCAAUGUGAGAAAUCGCGACGGGGGGAUCCCAAGUGCCAUUCUUAACGGGAUGGCUUUUCUUAAGUGUAAAAAGCUUUUGGAAUAAGAGCUGGGCAAGACCGGUGCCAGCCGCCGCGGUAACACCGGCAGCUCUAGUGGUAGCUGUUUUUAUUGGGCCUAAAGCGUUCGUAGCCGGUUUGAUAAGUCACUGGUGAAAUCCUGUAGCUUAACUGUGGGAAUUGCUGGUGAUACUGUUGAACUUGAGGUCGGGAGAGGUUAGCGGUACUCCCAGGGUAGAGGUGAAAUUCUGUAAUCCUGGGAGGACCACCUGUGGCGAAGGCGGCUAACUGGAACGAACCUGACGGUGAGGGACGAAAGCUAGGGGCGCGAACCGGA
rnacentral:rRNA from 1 species